rnacentral:rRNA from 1 species
AGGACGAACGCUGGCGGCGUGCUUAACACAUGCAAGUCGAGCGGUAAGGCCCUUUGGGGUACACGAGCGGCGAACGGGUGAGUAACACGUGAGCAAUCUGCCCUUCACUUUGGGAUAACCUCCGGAAACGGUGGCUAAUACCGAAUGCGACUGCCGGCUGCAUGGUCUGGUGGUGGAAAGUUUUUGCGGUGGGGGAUGAGCUCGCGGCCUAUCAGCUUGUUGGUGAGGUAAUGGCUCACCAAGGCUUCGACGGGUAGCCGGCCUGAGAGGGUGACCGGCCACACUGGGACUGAGACACGGCCCAGACUCCUACGGGAGCAGCAGUGGGAAUAUUGGACAA